UGGGCAAGGGAAUCUUUCUGUACGAAACACUGUUCGAUGUUGCAGUGGUAGAUCACGUGAAGGAUAAAGACAAAUUUGGAAAAGACCUUCAUUUACUGUCGCUAUAAGACUGGACCGUUACAUGCAGAGGUUUUAAUUGGCGGUUCUCGAUCAGGCAUUCGAGACGUUGCCCAUUUAAGCAUUGCAUUCUUCGCUACAUUUCUUCAUUCUGCAUUCUUCAAGAUGUAUUGAUGGAGUUAAGUUUCUGCGGACAGAUUUCGAGCUGUUUUCAUGAGUGAAGAAAAGGUAAUAUCUUAAAGAAAAUUACCAUACAUCUCAGUCUUUCACUUGCAUGCAUCGUAUGUCAUGGUUUUAACUCUUCUAAAAUCGAACAACUUUUCCAUUGCUUAAGGUUUUAUGUGUUUUUAUAGGGUUUAUGUGCUAAAAGUUUUGAUAGAUGUUUUAUUUUGAUUUUUAUGCAGUGAGGAGAGGAAGUUGAGUGAAAAAUGGUCUUUGAAGGUGGUUUGAAGUUUGAACUGCAGCAUGCAGAAAGGUUUUGUUUAUAGACUUGCCUUGGAUGAGGUAAAGUUGUUUCUAAAAUUUGAUCUUCUUAUACUAGAAAGAGUUUGUUUUGAUCUUCUAAUACUAGAAUGUUUCAAGAGAGUACCAAUUGCAGGGCCAUAGUUGAUGGUGGUGAAGAUCAUUAAGAGUGCCAACAAGCAAUUCCGAUUAACGAAUGAAAGGUAAUAUCUAUGCAUUUUUAUGGUACGUUGAUAUAUAAGUUUAAUAGGUAAAAAGAUGAAACAUUGUUGAAUGCAAAAUUGCCUCAUAACAUCAAGUAAUGAAACUCUACUAACAAAACAUGAGAGAAAUAAUUGUUUAACUUACAGGAGAACCAUCAACACUAAUAGAAUAUUUAACAUCAUUUGUGCAAUAAGGAGUUUACAAAAACUGAAAAAAAAUAUUGUUAACAUGAGUAAUAUGUAGCAUGUGUUUGAACAAAGAAAUGUAAUUAUGAUUUUUUGAGCAAACUUCUUCAGCAUAAGUGAUCACUUGUCAUACUUCUUAGGUUACACAUAUAAGUAUGCGUCUUUGUCUUUUGUAUAUAAAAAAGACAUGACGCGUAUCUAUGUGUUCAACCUAUUUUGUAACACAUUUUAUUACUUAAAGUAGAAGCAUAAUUAUAUUUUUUUCUCUAACAUGUCAUGUAUUCUCGUGAUAAGUGCAAUUAUUUUUUUAGUUUUUAUGAGUUUCCUAUCGCAGGAAUGAUGUUAGACAUCUUUAUUAGUGUUGAUGUUUCUCCUAUAAGUUGGAAGAUUGUUCCUUCCAUUUUCUCUCAUAGUAGAAUUUUAUUUACUUAAUUAUGUUAUGUGACAUUUUGGAUUUUGCCAAUGUAUUCACGUUGAUCUAUUAAACUUAAGUUAUACAUACUUAGAUAAAUACAACUGUUUAAUUAAAGGAAAUGCUAUCAAAACUGCAUUAUACAUAUAACGGUAUAUUCAAGAAUCCUAUAUUAUAUAACCUUACAAAACAAUAUCAAACAAUUUUAAGAAGCCUAUAAUAUAUAACUAUAAUUAAUUUUAAUUUUUGAAUUUUUUUAUUCAAUUGAGUUUUAAUAUUUUUAAUUUAAUUGAGUUUCUAUAUUUUUAUAAUAAUCAAAUUGAGUUAUUUUCUAUAUUGGAAUUCACUCAUUUUAAGACAUUGUUUACAUCAAUCAAUUUAAAAAAAAUAAAAAAAAAACAUUUUUUAUAAAAGUAAUAUUUGAAUCGAGUCUUAAAAAAAAUAAAAACUUAAUUAAUUUAAAAACAAUAUAAAAACAAAAAAAAGGUCAAAAGACCCGAAUAUAAGAAUUAAAUUAUUAAUUAAAACAAAAGUAAUUUAAAUUAAUAUUUUUAAGGUAACAACUUCUACAUAGUUUUUACAAUCUGUCCUACCAUAAUCUUGAUCUAUCUAUAUAUAUCUAUCUAUCUAUCUAUAUAUAUAUAUAUAUAUAUUCUAAGCCCCUCAAAUUAAUAUCGCUUGGCAGCACACAAAAAUGGUUAACACAAAAAUACUAAAAAAUUAAUAUAAUGUUAGCUAGUUAUAAUUAUACUUACGUUUUUGGUAUAUAAGUCAACACCAGUGUUAUUACCAUCUAUAAUUUGUUUGCUGUUACUCAUAUUUAAUAAAUUACUUUACACUACAUACAAAAUGAGUGAAGAUACGCAUACUUACAUAUACUUUUCCUCUUGUGAAAAAUUGUUCAUUGACUUCCUUGCAAUUCCAUAUGAUCAAAAUUAGAAAGAAACAUCAAGUAAAGAAUAUGCAUUAUUGUUUUUUUAGAGCAUAUUGCGUGAUGCAUUACAUGUUUCUUUUUAUUUCACAAGAAGAAUUGAUUGUAAGUUUAUCUUCACUCAUUUUAGAUCUUAUAUUUGCUACUAUAAAGUCUACGGUAAUUUAUGAAGUAUGGAAAAUAACAAAUAAAUUGUAGAUCAUAGCACCGAUGGAUUGUGUUGAUGGUGCUAACUUUAGUACCAUAUGAUACCAUGAAUAUAUAAUUAUAUUUAUAGAUAGUAGCAUUAUAUAUUUUUAGUAUUUUUAUGUUAAUCACUUUAGUAAGUCCAAUUUAAAUCUACUAAAUUAAUUUAUAAAAUAAUUUAUAUCUAUUCAUAUAUUUUAUAAAGUGUGCACUUCUAGCAACAUUUAUGCUUAAGUAAAGCAUAAUGGUCUUUCCACCACUUGUUCAUUCUUCCACCAGCAACUUUCUUCAUUCUUCCAUCACUUGUUCAGGUGCUUUGGUCUUUCCAUUCAUCCACCAAUUUUAUUUUUCUAUGAAUAACUUCAUUGUGGUUGAUACUUUUACCGAUGAUGAUUUUAAUUUUAUUGUAGCUUUGGACUGCUGAAUGUCUUAGUUUGGCUUGUUCCAAUGGUGAUGUUUUUUUCUCUAGAAUUCUAAGUUGGUCUUUGUUGAAGAUAAGGUAAAAAAAAAUUGAGUCCUUGUUCUUGGAGAAGGAUGUAAGUAAUUCGAUAAAUUUUGGAUCGAUUAUUUAUAUAAGUUAAAGUUAAUAUUAUUUGUUUUCUUCAGUUGGUUAUUGAAAUAAUUUCAUGUCUUUCAUGGUUUUAUAUAUGUUGGUAUUUGUUUCUUAGUGAGGAGGACCAUGCCAAUCCAACCAUUCCAUUUGAAUGAAGAAGCAAUCCCCUAACAACCACAUCAUGAUAUUUUUUACACUUGGAAAGAAGUCUUGUUCAUUCUGUAAAUUUUGAUAUGUAAAUUAAAUAAAGCUUUGCUCAUUUGGUAUUUCGUGAUGGUAUUAGAGUUUAAUUUUUCUUAGGUUAAUAAAUGUUUUACAAACUACAACUAUUAUCCUAAAAGGAGUCUUACACCAUAUACUUGACUAAGCACUCUAAAUAUCUGAUUGACCUAUCUAUCUUGGUUUAUGAAUCCUUUUUUCUUUGUUUAUGAAUCAUAUUUCGUAAGAGUAUUUCAUAGUACCAUUAUUAAAAGAAGUACAAAAUUAUUUAAUUUUUUAAAAUUUAAUCAUGGUAUUGUUUGAACUUCUUUGCUCAUGAGGAUUUGAUUUAAAAUUAUUGUCAUAAGUGGCUACAUCAAUAUCAUUAACAAUUUGUUGAGUGGAC
rnacentral:lncRNA from 1 species